rnacentral:rRNA from 1 species
UACGAAGGGGGCUAGCGUUGUUCGGAUUUACUGGGCGUAAAGCGCACGUAGGCGGAUCGUUAAGUCAGGGGUGAAAUCCUGGAGCUCAACUCCAGAACUGCCUUUGAUACUGGCGAUCUUGAGUCCGGAAGAGGUGAGUGGAACUCCUAGUGUAGAGGUGGAAUUCGUAGAUAUUCGGAAGAACACCAGUGGCGAAAGGCGGCUCACUGGCCCGGUACUGACGCUGAGGUGCGAAAGCGUGGGGAGCAAACA